rnacentral:rRNA from 1 species
UACGUAGGCAGCAAGCGUUGUUCGGAAUUACUGGGCGUAAAGAGUGUGUAGGCGGUGCUCCAAGUCUGGUGUGAAAUCUCCCGGCUUAACUGGGAGGGUGCAUUAGAAACUGGAAUGCUAGAGGAUGGGAGAGGUAAGCGGAAUUCCUGGUGUAGCGGUGAAAUGCGUAGAUAUCAGGAAGAACACCAAUGGCGAAAGCAGCUUUCUGGGACGGUACUGACGCUGAGACGCGAAAGCGUGGGGAGCGAACAGG